CAACCCUCAAGCUCCGGCUUGGUGUUGGGGCGCCCGGGCCCACUCGCGGCCCGGUGCCCCCAAGUUCAUCGGCGGGCUCGUCGGAACACUGAGCGCAGUAAAACGCGGUAAAACGCGCCCUCGCUCGGCCCGUCCCGGCGUGCUUCCCAGCCGCUAAACCCCCAAAAUUUUACAA
rnacentral:misc_RNA from 1 species